GCCCGUGUAGCUCAGUGGUAGAGCACUCGCUUGAUAAGCGAGAGGUCGUUGGUUCGAGCCCAACCGCGAGUACCA
rnacentral:tRNA from 1 species